AUUGAACGCUGGCGGCAUGCUUUACACAUGCAAGUCGAACGGCAGCGCGGGCUUCGGCCUGGCGGCGAGUGGCGAACGGGUGAGUAAUGCAUCGGAACGUGCCCAGUAGUGGGGGAUAGCCCGGCGAAAGCCGGAUUAAUACCGCAUACGACCUGAGGGUGAAAGCGGGGGACCGAAAGGCCUCGCGCUAUUGGAGCGGCCGAUGUCGGAUUAGCUAGUUGGUGGGGUAAAGGCUUACCAAGGUGACGAUCCGUAGCUGGUCUGAGAGGACGACCAGCCACACUGGGACUGAGACACGGCCCAGACUCCUACGGGAGGCAGCAGUGGGGAAUUUUGGACAAUGGGGGCAACCCUGAUCCAGCCAUGCCGCGUGCGGGAAGAAGGCCUUCGGGUUGUAAACCGCUUUUGUUCGGGAAGAAAUCCUGUGGGCUAAUACCCCGGGGGGAUGACGGUGCCGGAAGAAUAAGCACCGGCUAACUACGUG
rnacentral:rRNA from 1 species